CCUGCCUUGUUCGCAUCAUGAUAACAUUCACCGACAAUGGCAUCAAAGGUGGGACCAAUCCAAAGAAUUAAUAAUGAUAGAGGACUAUGAAGGGAGACAAUUCAAGGGGAUGUCAAUAGCAAUAGUGGCUAUGGAGGGGUUUGUCAUUAUGGUGUUACUCGUUGGGAAGAGGGCUCCAGCCAUUAUGGAAGCCCUUCCUUGUUGGG
rnacentral:lncRNA from 1 species